GACGAACGCUGGCGGCGUGCUUAACACAUGCAAGUCGAACGAAGUGGCGAACGUGUGAGUAACGUGUAAUCAACCCCCCCUUCAGAGGGGGACAACAGUGGGAAACGACUGCUAAUACCGAAUAGCGUAGGAGGGGAUUGCGUGGGAUUGGCUCGUUGGAGGGGUAACGGGCCACCAGGGCGAUGAUCAGGAGCCGGGCUGAUGGAAUGAACGGCCAACAUGGGACGGAGAGACGGCCCAGACUCCUAGGGGAGGCAGCAGUGGGGAAUCUUCCGAAAUGGACGAAAGUCUGACGGAGCAACGCCGCGUGAGUGAUGACGGCAUUCGGGUUGUAAAGCUCUGUUAAUCGGGACGCGGUACCGGAAUAGAAAGCCACGGCUAACUACGUGCCAGCAGCCGCGGUAAUUC
rnacentral:rRNA from 1 species